GCUUGGGUAGUUUAAUGGUUAAAACUCAAAUCUCAUAUGUUUGUAAUGUAAGUUCGAUUCUUGCCCUAGGCU